AUACGAAAAAUGCAAGCGUUAAUCGGAAUUACUGGGCGUAAAGCGCGCGUAGGCGGCUUGAUAAGUCGGAUGUGAAAUCCCCGGGCUUAACCUGGGAAUUGCAUUCGAUACUGUCAGGCUAGAGUGUGGUAGAGGGAAGUGGAAUUUCCGGUGUAGUGGUGAAAUGCGUAGAUAUCGGAAAGAACAUCAGUGGCGAAGGCGGCUUCCUGGAUCAACACUGACGCUGAGGUGCGAAAGCGUGGGGAGCAAACAGGAUUAGAUACCCUAGUAGUCC
rnacentral:rRNA from 1 species